AUGGGAGGUCCUAGCUGGGUCUAUUGUCAUUCCUCUCGCCGGUGCCUCCCGCGAGGGAAGGUUAUGGGCACGCGUUACCCUGAUCAGGUAGGCGGACAUAAGCCUUGUGUGCCCGAGUUAGAUUUUGAGCUCAUGUCCCCGUUUGGGACCGUUUUGCCACGACAGUGGCCGUUGGUACCUUUGGUAGGUACGGGGCCACCCUGGACUGAGCCUAUAAGGGGUGUUGGUCGGAGUGGCCGGGAGAGUGUCAUGGCAGUAGGUCGGUUUUGUCGGAACGCCGUUGGUCCACCCAAAUCGGAGUGCGAGGCCAUGGGUUCCGUGGUGUGGGUACAAUGCGCUACCUCUGAAGAGUGUAUUUUAAUCUAUCGAUAG
rnacentral:rRNA from 1 species